GGGUUGUGAGGUUAAGCGACUAAGCGUACACGGUGGAUGCCCUGGCAGUCAGAGGCGAUGAAGGACGUGCUAAUCUGCGAUAAGCGUCGGUAAGGUGAUAUGAACCGUUAUAACCGGCGAUUUCCGAAUGGGGAAACCCAGUGUGUUUCGACACACUAUCAUUAACUGAAUCCAUAGGUUAAUGAGGCGAACCGGGGGAACUGAAACAUCUAAGUACCCCGAGGAAAAGAAAUCAACCGAGAUUCCCCCAGUAGCGGCGAGCGAACGGGGAGCAGCCCAGAGCCUGAAUCAGUGUGUGUGUUAGUGGAAGCGUCUGGAAAGGCGCGCGAUACAGGGUGACAGCCCCGUACACAAAAAUGCACAURCUGUGAGCUCGAUGAGUAGGGCGGGACACGUGGUAUCCUGUCUGAAUAUGGGGGGACCAUCCUCCAAGGCUAAAUACUCCUGACUGACCGAUAGUGAACCAGUACCGUGAGGGAAAGGCGAAAAGAACCCCGGCGAGGGGAGUGAAAAAGAACCUGAAACCGUGUACGUACAAGCAGUGGGAGCACGCUUAGGCGUGUGACUGCGUACCUUUUGUAUAAUGGGUCAGCGACUUA
rnacentral:rRNA from 1 species